AUUGAACGCUGGCGGCAGGCUUAACACAUGCAAGUCGAACGAAUGGCGAACAGGUGCGUAACGCAUCGGAACGUACCGAGUAAUGGGGGAUAACUGUCCGAAAGGACAGCUAAUACCGCAUAUUAUUCGAGCGGCCGAUGUCUGAUUAGCUGGUUGGCGGGGUAAAGACCCACCAAGGCGAUGAUCAGUAGCGGGUCUGAGAGGAUGAACCGCCACACUGGUAGUGAGACACGGCCCAGACUCCUACGUGAGGCAGCAGUGGGGAAUUUUGGACAAUGGGCGCAAGCCUGAUCCAGCCAUGCCGCGUGUCUGAAGAAGGCCUUCGGGUUGUAAAGGACUUUUGUCAGGGAAGCGGUACCUGAAGAAUAAGCACCGGCUAACUACGUGCCAGCCGCCGCGGUAAUUC
rnacentral:rRNA from 1 species